AUGCCGUCCUGUUUUUCUUACAUAUUCCAUCCUCAUACGGUUAUCUUACAUCAAAGUAUUGCUUGUCUGUAUCAUGCAUCAAUGAGUUCUGAAGAGCGAUUUUAUUCUUUUGUGUUGUGGGUACGGCUUGACAUGGCAAAGUCAAAAAAUAGCAAGGAAAAUAAUAUAGUAGGGAGUGGUGUUACUCGUCGGGUGAAACGGAAAAGGAUCUGCCGUCCAGAUUCUACUGGUACUUAUAGUGCAGUAGAAGGUCCAAGUCCACCGGCUAAAUCUACAAACACAGUAUCACCUGCUCCACCAGCUACAGCAUCCGCUUCAACUGUACCAGCAUCUAAACGAGUUACUCGUUCGUUUACUCCGGAACUGGCCAGUUCCCAAGCUGCCUUCACACCUAACACUACUUCCGAAGCACUGCUGACACAACAGGACUUGGCAAGAUCAGAUGAACCUCAUGAGCAUCAACACCAAGACGGUACCUGA
rnacentral:rRNA from 1 species